GUUGGGGACAGGGCUGAAUGUGUAAAGGUCAACAGAACAGUGGUCUCCUGAUGGAGUUGGGGACAGGGCAUGAACUCAUUGUAAAGGUCAACAGAGCAGUGGUCUCCUGAUGGAGUUGGGGACAGGGCUGAAUGUGUAAAGGUCAACAGAACAGUGGUCUCCUGAUGGAGUUGGGAACAGGGCUGACUGUGUAAAGGUCAACAGAACAGUGGUCUCCUGAUGGAGUUGGGGACAGGGCUGAAUGUGUAAAGGUCAACAGAACAGUGGUCUCCUGAUGGAGUUGGGGACAGGGCAGAAUGUGUAAAGGUCAACAGAACAGUGGUCUCCUGAUGGAGUUGGGGACAGGGCAUGAACUCAUUGUAAAGGUCAACGAGAACAGUGGUCUCCUAAUGGAGUUGGGGACAGGGCUGAAUGUGUAAAGGUCAACAGAACAGUGGUCUCCUGAUGGAGUUGGGGACAGGGCAUGAACUCAUUGUAAAGGUCAACAUAACAGUGGUCUCCUGAUGGAGUUGGGGACAGGGCUGAAUGUGUAAAGGUCAACAGAACAGUGGUCUCCUGAUGGAGUUGGGGACAGGGCUGAAUGUGUAAAGGUCAACAGAACAGUGGUCUCCUGAUGGAGUUGGGGACAGGGCAUGAACUCAUUGUAAAGGUCAACAGAACAGUGGUCUCCUGAAUGAGUUGGGGACAGGGCUGAAUGUAUAAAGGUCAACAGAACAGUGGUCUCCUGAUGGAGUUGGGGACAGGGCUGAAUGUGUAAAGGUCAACAGAACAGUGGUCUCCUGAAUGAGUUGGGGACAGGGCUGAAUGUGUAAAGGUCAACAGAACAGUGGUCUCCUGAUGGAGUUGGGGACAGGGCAUGAACUCAUUGUAAAGGUCAACAGAGCAGUGGUCUCCUGAUGGAGUUGGGGACAGGGCUGAAUGUGUAAAGGUCAACAGAACAGUGGUCUCCUGAUGGAGUUGGGAACAGGGCUGAAUGUGUAAAGGUCAACAGAACAGUGGUCUCCUGAUGGAGUUGGGGACAGGGCUGAAUGUGUACAGGUCAACAGAACAGUGGUCUCCUGAAUGAGUUGGGGACAGGGCUGAAUGUGUAAAGGUCAACAGAACAGUGGUCUCCUGAUGGAGUUGGGGACAGGGCAUGAACUCAUUGUAAAGGUCAACAGAGCAGUGGUCUCCUGAUGGAGUUGGGGACAGGGCUGAAUGUGUAAAGGUCAACAGAACAGUGGUCUCCUGAUGGAGUUGGGAACAGGGCUGACUGUGUAAAGGUCAACAGAACAGUGGUCUCCUGAUGGAGUUGGGGACAGGGCUGAAUGUGUAAAGGUCAACAGAACAGUCGUCUCCUGAUGGAGUUGGGGACAGGGCAGAAUGUGUAAAGGUCAACAGAACAGUGGUCUCCUGAUGGAGUUGGGGACAGGGCAUGAACUCAUUGUAAAGGUCAACAGAACAGUGGUCUCCUGAUGGAGUUGGG
ensembl:lncRNA